rnacentral:rRNA from 1 species
GCUUGCUCUGGCUGACGAGUGGCGCACGGGUGCGUAACGCGUAUACAAUCUACCUAUUACUGGGGUAUAGCCCAGAGAAAUUUGGAUUAAUCCCCCAUAGUAUAAUGAUAUGGCAUCAUAUUAUUAUUAAAACUUCGGUGGUAAUAGAUGAGUAUGCGUCCUAUUAGUUAGUUGGAAAGGUAACGGCUUCCCAAGACAUCGAUAGGUAGGGGUCCUGAGAGGGAGAUCCCCCACACUGGUACUGAGACACGGACCAGACUCCUACGGGAGGCAGCAGUGAGGAAUAUUGGACAAUGGAGGCAACUCUGAUCCAGCCAUGCCGCGUGCAGGAAGACUGCCCUAUGGGUUGUAAACUGCUUUUAUAGAGGAAGAAACCUUUUCACGUGUGAAAAGCUGACGGUACUCUACGAAUAAGGAUCGGCUAACUCCGUGCCAGCAGCCGCGGUAAUACGGAGGAUCCAAGCGUUAUCCGGAAUCAUUGGGUUUAAAGGGUCCGUAGGCGGGCAGUUAAGUCAGUGGUGAAAGUCUUCCGCUCAACGGGAGAAUUGCCAUUGAUACUGAUUGUCUUGAGUUAUUAUGAAGUGGUUAGAAUGAGUAGUGUAGCGGUGAAAUGCAUAGAUAUUACUCAGAAUACCGAUUGCGAAGGGCAGAUCACUAAUAAUAUACCUGACGCCUGAUGGACGAUGUUUGAGUAAUAAUAAGUGGUAGAAUGAAGAGGGUAACGGUGGAAAUGCUAAGAUUUAUUUCAGAGUCGCGAUUGCGGAGACAGGUCCACUGUAAUUAUGGCUGAGGUAGAUGGUAUGAAAGCGUAGGUGAGCGAAACAGGAUUAAGAUACCCUGGGUAGUUUACCGCCCGUAAAGCGAUGGUUAUCUAAGGAUGUCACGGGAUCACUUAGAGGAGCUGGGGUGGCUAAAGCGAUAAGUUGAUAAGUAACCCCACACUGAUGGAUUUACGUUUCGCCAAGAAUGACAACUCAAAGGGAAUUGACCGGGGGGCCCGCAACAUGCUGGUGGAGCAUGGUGGUUUAAAUUCGAUGAUCACGCGAGGAACCUUAUCCAGGGCUGUAAAUGCAGUCCUGGACCGUACUUUGGAAAACAGGUUAUUUAUUCGGACAGAUUGCAGAGGUGCUGCAUUGGUAGUCGUCAGCUCGUGCCGUGAGGUGUCAGGUUAAGUCCUAUAUACGAGCGCAACCCCUGUGGUUAGUUGCCAGCGAGUAAUGUCGGGAACUCUAUGCCAGACUGCCGGUGCAAACCGUGAGGAAGGUGGGGAUGACGUCAAAUCAUCACGGCCCUUACGUCUUGGGCUACACACGUGCUACAAUGGUAGGGACAGAGAGCAGCCACUGGGCGACCAGGAGCGAAUCUAUAAACCCUAUCACAGUUCGGAUCGCAGUCUGCAACUCGACUGCGUGAAGCUGGAAUCGCUAGUAAUCGCAUAUCAGCCAUGAUGCGGUGAAUACGUUCCCGGGCCUUGUACACACCGCCCGUCAAGCCAUGGAAGCUGGGGGUACCUGAAGUCCGUUACCGCAAGGAGCGGCCUAGGGUAAAACUGGUAAGAGGGGAUAAGUCUAACAAGGAGCUGAUCCGAAG